AGAACAGCAGAGGAAGGAGGAGGUUAACAUGACUGUUUCUGACAGGAAGCAUCUGACUUUCAUCUCUCCACAGCCUCCUCACAAGGGGCCAGAGGCCAGGCUUCCACCGGCUCCCUACCCUGCCCACAGCCUGCGCAGUUUGCCCCAGUGCCCUCCAGUUCACCUCAGCCACCCCGUCCCCCUGUCUCUCACCCUGUCCCUCUCCCCCGGCCCUGCGCAGCUCAGACCCCCAGCUCCUCCACCUCACCGAGCCCCUCCGCCUCACAUCCACGUUGCACCCAGAGGGGCGUCGUUUCACGGCGGGCCGCACCAUAACUCCUGCAGGAUGGUCAUGGAGUUGGAGAAGCCCAGUCCCCCUCAGAAACCACUACCUGCUGAUCCAAGGACCUCUCGUCUGGUGCGUAGUCCGUCUGCAGUCCAGGGGCCCUCAACUGUUUGUGGCCCCGCACCAGUACCUGGUGUGCCCAGACCUAUGCGGCCUCUCCCGCACGCCAACAGGCCGAGUCCCAAGCAUCCUCCAAUACUACCAAAGCCUUGCAUUAUUGCCAACGUCAAAUACAGCAGCUGAGACUUUGGCCAGAAGGGACAUUGUUGUGAUGAGACACACAAACGAUUUGCACUACUAAAACUCUGAAAACCUUAAACAUGUUGGCGGCUGCUCUGAUCAGGAGAUGUGCCGCCGUGUCCCUUUGGUGCUCUGUCUCUGAACGGUGCUACGAGUCUGAGCUCAGGUACAUGUAAAGUAUUUAUAUUGUGUAUUUAUUACCACACAGUGCACUGUGCCAGACACUUUCACACUUAAACGGUAGCAACUUUUUUUCCUAUUUUAUGAUGAUUGGUGACGACAGAAGAAAAAAACAAUCUGUGAAAUUGUGAUUGUGUUUAAAUGAGGGAACUCUUUAUGGUUUUGUGCAAUGACAGAUGACAACAACAUUUGUAGUUCACUUUGAGCCAGUCUGACAAGGCUUGAAACAACCACAGGAAAAGAAGAGAGAGGACAGGAGGCCUGUCUUCAUUUAUAUUAUAGAACGGUAACAAAUCAAAUUGUGAAAUGUAGAUAGAUUUUGUUACUUUUGAUACUGUUAUCUUUAUAAUAAUGCACUAGAUUUACAUUAAUUGCUUUGUUUACUUUGUGUCCAUGUACUAAUAGACAGUCACCUGUCUCUGUGCUAUCUGUCCU
ensembl:lncRNA